rnacentral:rRNA from 1 species
AUGAACGCUAGCGACAGGCUUAACACAUGCAAGUCGAGGGGCAGCAUGAUUUGUAGCAAUACAGAUUGAUGGCGACCGGCGCACGGGUGAGUAACGCGUAUGCAACUUACCUAUCAGAGGGGGAUAGCCCGGCGAAAGUCGGAUUAAUACCCCAUAAAACAGGGGUCCCGCAUGGGAAUAUUUGUUAAAGAUUCAUCGCUGAUAGAUAGGCAUGCGUUCCAUUAGGCAGUUGGCGGGGUAACGGCCCACCAAACCGACGAUGGAUAGGGGUUCUGAGAGGAAGGUCCCCCACAUUGGUACUGAGACACGGACCAAACUCCUACGGGAGGCAGCAGUGAGGAAUAUUGGUCAAUGGCCGAGAGGCUGAACCAGCCAAGUCGCGUGAAGGAAGAAGGAUCUAUGGUUUGUAAACUUCUUUUAUAGGGGAAUAAAGUGGAGGACGUGUCCUUUUUUGUAUGUACCCUAUGAAUAAGCAUCGGCUAACUCCGUGCCAGCAGCCGCGGUAAUACGGAGGAUGCGAGCGUUAUCCGGAUUUAUUGGGUUUAAAGGGUGCGUAGGUGGUGAUUUAAGUCAGCGGUGAAAGUUUGUGGCUCAACCAUAAAAUUGCCAUUGAAACUGGGUUACUUGAGUGUGUUUGAGGUAGGCGGAAUGCGUGGUGUAGCGGUGAAAUGCAUAGAUAUCACGCAGAACUCCGAUUGCGAAGGCAGCUUACUAAACCAUAACUGACACUGAAGCACGAAAGCGUGGGGAUCAAACAGGAUUAGAUACCCUGGUAGUCCACGCAGUAAACGAUGAUUACUAGGAGUUUGCGAUACAAUGUAAGCUCUACAGCGAAAGCGUUAAGUAAUCCACCUGGGGAGUACGCCGGCAACGGUGAAACUCAAAGGAAUUGACGGGGGCCCGCACAAGCGGAGGAACAUGUGGUUUAAUUCGAUGAUACGCGAGGAACCUUACCCGGGUUUGAACGUAGUCUGACCGGAGUGGAAACACUCUUUCUAGCAAUAGCAGAUUACGAGGUGCUGCAUGGUUGUCGUCAGCUCGUGCCGUGAGGUGUCGGCUUAAGUGCCAUAACGAGCGCAACCCUUAUCACUAGUUACUAACAGGUGAAGCUGAGGACUCUGGUGAGACUGCCAGCGUAAGCUGUGAGGAAGGUGGGGAUGACGUCAAAUCAGCACGGCCCUUACAUCCGGGGCGACACACGUGUUACAAUGGCAUGGACAAAGGGCAGCUACCUGGUGACAGGAUGCUAAUCUCCAAACCAUGUCUUAGUUCGGAUCGGAGUCUGCAACUCGACUCCGUGAAGCUGGAUUCGCUAGUAAUCGCGCAUCAGCCAUGGCGCGGUGAAUACGUUCCCGGGCCUUGUACACACCGCCCGUCAAGCCAUGGGAGCCGGGGGUACCUGAAGUCCGUAACCGCAAGGAUCGGCCUAGGGUAAAACUGGUGACUGGGGCU